rnacentral:lncRNA from 1 species
ACUGCUGGUGCCUGGGGAUGGAUUCUGCACUUCUCCCCAUUUUACAGAUGAGAACAGUUGAGCAAGGUCAGCAGCAGAGUCAGAACUCUUCCCCCAUCACCACAGUCGUUCUCAAGCUGGAGCCAGACAUCCACCCAGGUGACCCCGCUUGGAUCAGGUGCUUAGCGCCAUGUUGAGCCAACAACUGAGCCUGAGGACUAACUUCCCAAGUCGCAGUCCCUUCCUCACUGGUCUGGAAACCAGUUCCCUGACUUGUCAUGCCUGCGAGAUGUCAGACCUGCCUUCCUUCCUCAUUUCCUCCACAACCCACAAUAACACAGCCAGGACCCCUAGGCUUCUCCACUU